rnacentral:rRNA from 1 species
GAUGAACGCUGACAGAAUGCUUAACACAUGCAAGUCUACUUGAAUUUGGGUUUUUUAACUUAGAUUUGGGUGGCGGACGGGUGAGUAACGCGUAAAGAACUUGCCUCACAGCUAGGGACAACAUUUGGAAACGAAUGCUAAUACCUGAUAUUAUGAUUAUAAGGCAUCUUAGAAUUAUGAAAGCUAUAUGCGCUGUGAGAGAGCUUUGCGUCCCAUUAGCUAGUUGGAGAGGUAACGGCUCACCAAGGCGAUGAUGGGUAGCCGGCCUGAGAGGGUGAACGGCCACAAGGGGACUGAGACACGGCCGUUACUCCUACGGGAGGCAGCAGUGGGGAAUAUUGGACAAUGGACCAAGAGUCUGAUCCAGCAAUUCUGUGUGCACGAUGACGUUUUUCGGAAUGUAAAGUGCUUUCAGUUGGGAAGAAAAAAAUGACGGUACCAACAGAAGAAGUGACGGCUAAAUACGUG